CGUCCCGUCCCGAUCAGAGACUUUGCCCUCGUGUGCCCUAGGCAGAGAACAGGUUUUCCCGCAACCUCACAACCAAAGGUCAAGGGCAACCCUCUGAGAAAAGGCGCUGGAAUUCCCAAACAGCACCUAUUCACCAACAGG